GAUGAAGAACGCAGCGAAAUGCGAUAAGUAAUGUGAAUUGCAGAAUUCAGUGAAUCAUCGAAUCUUUGAACGCACAUUGCGCCCCUUGGUAUUCCGAGGGGCACGCCUGUUCGAGCGUCAUUAUAACCCCUCAAGCUCAGCUUGGUGUUGGGGCCUGCUGCACUGGCAGCCCUUAAAAUCAGUGGCGGCGCCAUCUGGCUCUAAGCGUAGUAAUUCUUCUCGCUAUGGAGUCCUGGUGGAUGCUUGCCAUCAACCCCCAAUUUUUCUAUGGUUGACCUCGGAUCAGGUAGGGAUACCCGCUGAACUUAAGCAUAUCAAUAAGCGGAGGA
rnacentral:misc_RNA from 1 species